UGUAUAAUGGGUCAGCGACUUAUAUUCUGUAGCAAGGUUAACCGAAUAGGGGAGCCGAAGGGAAACCGAGUCUUAACUGGGCGUUAAGUUGCAGGGUAUAGACCCGAAACCCGGUGAUCUAGCCAUGGGCAGGUUGAAGGUUGGGUAACACUAACUGGAGGACCGAACCGACUAAUGUUGAAAAAUUAGCGGAUGACUUGUGGCUGGGGGUGAAAGGCCAAUCAAACCGGGAGAUAGCUGGUUCUCCCCGAAAGCUAUUUAGGUAGCGCCUCGUGAAUUCAUCUCCGGGGGUAGAGCACUGUUUCGGCAAGGGGGUCAUCCCGACUUACCAACCCGAUGCAAACUGCGAAUACCGGAGAAUGUUAUCACGGGAGACACACGGCGGGUGCUAACGUCCGUCGUGAAGAGGGAAACAACCCAGACCGCCAGCUAAGGUCCCAAAGUCAUGGUUAAGUGGGAAACGAUGUGGGAAGGCCCAGACAGCCAGGAUGUUGGCUUAGAAGCAGCCAUCAUUUAAAGAAAGCGUAAUAGCUCACUGGUCGAGUCGGCCUGCGCGGAAGAUGUAACGGGGCUAAACCAUGCACCGAAGCUGCGGCAGCGACACUAUGUGUUGUUGGGUAGGGGAGCGUUCUGUAAGCCUGUGAAGGUGUGCUGUGAGGCAUGCUGGAGGUAUCAGAAGUGCGAAUGCUGACAUAAGUAACGAUAAAGCGGGUGAAAAGCCCGCUCGCCGGAAGACCAAGGGUUCCUGUCCAACGUUAAUCGGGGCAGGGUGAGUCGACCCCUAAGGCGAGGCCGAAAGGCGUAGUCGAUGGGAAACAGGUUAAUAUUCCUGUACUUGGUGUUACUGCGAAGGGGGGACGGAGAAGGCUAUGUUGGCCGGGCGACGGUUGUCCCGGUUUAAGCGUGUAGGCUGGUUUUCCAGGCAAAUCCGGAAAAUCAAGGCUGAGGCGUGAUGACGAGGCACUACGGUGCUGAAGCAACAAAUGCCCUGCUUCCAGGAAAAGCCUCUAAGCAUCAGGUAACAUCAAAUCGUACCCCAAACCGACACAGGUGGUCAGGUAGAGAAUACCAAGGCGCUUGAGAGAACUCGGGUGAAGGAACUAGGCAAAAUGGUGCCGUAACUUCGGGAGAAGGCACGCUGAUAUGUAGGUGAAGUCCCUCGCGGAUGGAGCUGAAAUCAGUCGAAGAUACCAGCUGGCUGCAACUGUUUAUUAAAAACACAGCACUGUGCAAACACGAAAGUGGACGUAUACGGUGUGACGCCUGCCCGGUGCCGGAAGGUUAAUUGAUGGGGUUAGCGCAAGCGAAGCUCUUGAUCGAAGCCCCGGUAAACGGCGGCCGUAACUAUAACGGUCCUAAGGUAGCGAAAUUCCUUGUCGGGUAAGUUCCGACCUGCACGAAUGGCGUAAUGAUGGCCAGGCUGUCUCCACCCGAGACUCAGUGAAAUUGAACUCGCUGUGAAGAUGCAGUGUACCCGCGGCAAGACGGAAAGACCCCGUGAACCUUUACUAUAGCUUGACACUGAACAUUGAGCCUUGAUGUGUAGGAUAGGUGGGAGGCUUUGAAGUGUGGACGCCAGUCUGCAUGGAGCCGACCUUGAAAUACCACCCUUUAAUGUUUGAUGUUCUAACGUUGACCCGUAAUCCGGGUUGCGGACAGUGUCUGGUGGGUAGUUUGACUGGGGCGGUCUCCUCCUAAAGAGUAACGGAGGAGCACGAAGGUUGGCUAAUCCUGGUCGGACAUCAGGAGGUUAGUGCAAUGGCAUAAGCCAGCUUGACUGCGAGCGUGACGGCGCGAGCAGGUGCGAAAGCAGGUCAUAGUGAUCCGGUGGUUCUGAAUGGAAGGGCCAUCGCUCAACGGAUAAAAGGUACUCCGGGGAUAACAGGCUGAUACCGCCCAAGAGUUCAUAUCGACGGCGGUGUUUGGCACCUCGAUGUCGGCUCAUCACAUCCUGGGGCUGAAGUAGGUCCCAAGGGUAUGGCUGUUCGCCAUUUAAAGUGGUACGCGAGCUGGGUUUAGAACGUCGUGAGACAGUUCGGUCCCUAUCUGCCGUGGGCGCUGGAGAACUGAGGGGGGCUGCUCCUAGUACGAGAGGACCGGAGUGGACGCAUCACUGGUGUUCGGGUUGUCAUGCCAAUGGCACUGCCCGGUAGCUAAAUGCGGAAGAGAUAAGUGCUGAAAGCAUCUAAGCACGAAACUUGCC
rnacentral:rRNA from 1 species